rnacentral:misc_RNA from 1 species
GCGCAGGACCCAUCUUGUUCAAUCGUUCUCAGUUGUUUUCCUCUACUGGUUAUACUACGUUUCAUGAUUUUGGCUCCAAAUAAGAAAUUUAGACUAUAAAUUUAUAUAUUUAUCUUUACUAUUACUACUAUUAUCUGCAUUUUUCUGAGUUUGUUUCUGUUUUGGGUCCUGCUAUAACUCUCUCUUGAUUGCUCUUAUUUUGUUUAAAAAAAAAAAAAUUUGUGCACUUGUUUUGUUGGCGUUUUCAUGGCUUCCUCCAGUGGAACAUCUUCAGGGUCAAGUUUGAUGCAGAACUCAGGUUCUGAAGAGGCAUUGAUGGAUCAAAGGAAGAGGAAGAGGAUGAUCUCAAAUCGAGAAUCAGCAAGGAGGUCUCGGAUGAGAAAACAGAAGCAUUUGGAUGAUCUAAUGGCACAAGUGGCUCAGCUGAGUAAGGAGAACCACCAGCUUAUCACAAGCAUCAAUAUCACCACUCAGCAGUACCUGAACGUAGAGGCUGAUAACUCUAUACUCAAUGCUCAAAUUGGUGAGCUUAGCCACAGAUUGCAGUCUUUGAAUGAAAUCAUUUCCUUCCUGAGUGCAAAUAAUGGUCUUUAUGGAGAUUCAAGCACUUUCAAUGAGCCGGCUGAUAGCUUCUUCAACCCACUGAACAUGCCAUAUCUGAAUCAGCCUAUAAUGGCCUCUGCAGAUAUUUUUCAAUACUAGCUAAGACCCAUCUCCAGAUUAUUGCGACUGCUGUGGAUGAAUGGAAAAGAGAGAGAGAGAGAGUGAGAAGAGAGAGAAAAUCUGCCCUUGUAGCUUUUAAAGCUUAAGAAACAUUACUGGAUAGUGGUUAAAAAUUAAGUAAUAAUAAUAAUAAGGGAUAUGUAGAAGAACCAAGGAUGUGAUUAGUGGUCUGUAAAUGUGGUUUGCUAUAGUAUUAUCAUGGUUCAAGGGCAGUUGAUGAUGUUGUAGUUUUCUGCUGUUAUCAAUUAAUGUAAUGCUUUAUUUUACUCUCAGCUUUUGCUUUUCAGCUGAUUCAACUAGUGUGAAUGCUCUCUAUUACUUAGGUCAAGUCUCUAGUAGAUGAAUGCCUUGGCAUAAAUGGGGAUGAUUCCUACUUUUGUAUGGACUUGAAACAGGGUUGUUAUGCUCAGAUUUGUGUAUUUCUAACUUCUCUCAUGUUCAUGUUAAUAAAGGAAGAAAAUCAAAU